UACGGAGGAUGCAAGCGUUAUCCGGAUUCAUUGGGUUUAAAGGGUGCGCAGGCGGAGAGAUAAGUCAGUGGUGAAAAACUGCCGCUCAACGGUAGUCUUGCCAUUGAUACUGUCUUUCUUGAGUAUGGAUGAGGUAGGCGGAAUGUGCAGUGUAGCGGUGAAAUGCAUAGAUAUUGCACGGAACACCAAUUGCGAAGGCAGCUUGCUGGACCAUUACUGACGCUCAGGCACGAAAGCGUGGGGA
rnacentral:rRNA from 1 species